AACGAACGCUAGCUGGAGGCUUAAUACAUGCAAGUCGAGCGGAAUUGGGUAGCAAUACCCAUGAGAGCGGCGCACGGGUGAGUAACGCGUACACGACCUACCUCUAACAGGGGGAUAGCCCUGGGAAACUGGGAUUAAUACCGCAUAUUAUUCUGAAUAAUAAAGGUUUGGAAUGAAAGCUGAGGCGGUUAGAGAUGGGUGUGCGUCUGAUUAGCUAGUUGGUAGGGUAACGGCCUACCAAGGCGAUGAUCAGUAGGGGGCGUGUGAGCGUGGUCCCCCACACGGGUACUGAGACACGGACCCGACUCCUACGGGAGGCAGCAGUAAGGAAUAUUGGUCAAUGGGCGAAAGCCUGAACCAGCCAUCCAGCGUGCAGGAAGAAGGCCCUAUGGGUUGUAAACUGCUUUUAUCAGGGAAGAAACCUCUGGAUUUACUCCGGAGCUGACGGUACCUGAAGAAUAAGCACCGGCUAACUCCGUGCCAGCAGCCGCGGUAAGAC
rnacentral:rRNA from 1 species